GAGUUCGUAUAUGACUCCAGUCCUGGCGCUGGAUGCUGCUGCUGUUCCAGCUUCCUAGGUGUGGAAACUGAAGGACCAAGAGAUUAAACAGUGGUGCAAAAGUGGUAAGAAUUCAGCAUUCUCCUCGACAAGUGGACGAGCAUCUACUGUGCUUUCACAGCGGCUAUCACUAUUGCCAGCAGCAAGACUGUCAGCUCGGCGCCCUCGUCUGGUUGGAUGGGAAACUGCAGUUGCUAAGGGAGCUGGGAAUCUCUGAGGACAAAUGGGAAUUCUCACUGAUUUCUAGGACUACCCUGGGGCAGAGAUGGAGUUUCAUCACAUUGCCUAGGCUGGUCUCGAAAUCCUGGACUCAAGUGAUCUGCUGGCCUCAGCCUCCCUAACUGCUGGGACUAGAGGCCUGAGCGACCACCCCUGGCUGUAAACAUUUUCUUAGCUCAAGGAUUGCUGAAUUUGUAUCCAUUUUCUUCUCUCCUAUCUCAAUUGGGUGGGUGAAAUGAUACUGUUAAUUAUUUUCUGUUA
rnacentral:lncRNA from 1 species